rnacentral:rRNA from 1 species
AUUGAACGCUGGCGGCAGGCCUAACACAUGCAAGUCGAGCGGAUGAAGGGAGCUUGCUCCUGGAUUCAGCGGCGGACGGGUGAGUAAUGCCUAGGAAUCUGCCUGGUAGUGGGGGAUAACGUCCGGAAACGGGCGCUAAUACCGCAUACGUCCUGAGGGAGAAAGUGGGGGAUCUUCGGACCUCACGCUAUCAGAUGAGCCUAGGUCGGAUUAGCUAGUUGGUGGGGUAAAGGCCUACCAAGGCGACGAUCCGUAACUGGUCUGAGAGGAUGAUCAGUCACACUGGAACUGGGACACGGUCCAGACUCCUACGGGAGGCAGCAGUGGGGAAUGUUGGACAAUGGGCGAAAGCCUGAUCCAGCCAUGCCGCGUGUGUGAAGAAGGUCUUCGGAUUGUAAAGCACUUUAAGUUGGGAGGAAGGGCAGUAAGUUAAUACCUUGCUGUUUUGACGUUACCAACAGAAUAAGCACCGGCUAACUUCGUG